rnacentral:rRNA from 1 species
AUUGAACGCUGGCGGCAGGCCUAACACAUGCAAGUCGAACGAGUGGCGGACGGGUGAGUAAUGUCUGGGGAUCUGCCUGAUAGAGGGGGAUAACUACUGGAAACGGUCGCUAAUACCGCAUACCAUCGGAUGUACCCAUAUGGGAUUAGCUAGUAGGUGGGGUAACGGCUCACCUAGGCGACGAUCUCUCGCUGGUCUGAGAGGAUGACCAGCCACACUGGGACUGAGACACGGCCCAGACUCCGACGGGAGGCAGCAGUGGGGAAUAUUGCACAAGGGGCGCAAGCCUGAUGCAGCCAUGCCGCGUGUAUGAAGAAGGCCUUAGGGUUGUAAAGUACGUUCAGCGGGGAGGCGUUACCCGCAGAAGAAGCACAGGCUAACUCCGUGCCAGCAGCCGCGGUAAUAC